CCCCUCCCCCAUUGUAGUAGCCCCUCCCCAAUUGUUACAGCCCCUUUCCUGCUCUAACGACUCCUCCCCCUAUGGUUAUGGCUCCUCCUCUGCUACAACAGCCCCUCUUCUGUUGUCAUAGUCCCCACCUCUGUUGUAACAGCCCCUCUCUUAUUGCAAUGGCCUCCCCACCCCCGCAGUCAUCUUCAAAUCAAGCGUCUCCUUCCCUAGCCCUGACUUACUCUCCAUCUGACACAGGAGUCAGUCCCAGGCACAGGGCAACAGUGCCUCCUUCUCCAUGGGACGCUGCCUCGAGCCUCCCUGGACUUCCCUGCGGGGAUUUUCUAGAGUCAGAGCUGAGCCCCUACUCUCCUAAAAUCCACAGGGUGUCCCGUGAGCCCCUCACCCCCUGAACAUGGUGGCCUGGGGGGUCUCUUCACUUGGCGGGGGAGUCCCCACACUCCACUACGUGCUGGCUGCCCGUGCCCGUCCGCUCAGCCGCCUGGGGUGGUGCAUGACUGCAGGGCUCAACGGAGGCAGAUUGUGCCACGGAGGUGCUCCAGCAGCAUGAGGCAGGUUCCUGGAAAGCUGGGCCGCGUGGGAGUGGACGGCCAAGACCCUGGCCGAGCGCCGGGCCUGGCGGGCGCUCAGCAAAUGCCACUGGAGCCUGAGAGACCCUGAUGGGGACACCGCCAUCCCCAGUGAGCCGUGAGGUGCUGAGGCAAGCACGCGGCUCUCAGCCAAUUUCCAGAAGAACGCGCAUUCCUCCUAGAACAUCCACUUAAAAUUACAUUAAAAAAUUAACAAGCUGGUCUUGGAGCGGAGGAAUGGGUUUCGGCACAGAAGGAGAGAAAAAUCGGAAAAAAACGGGUUCUUCCAGCCCAAUUUCCCUCAUAAUUGGGUGUCUUUUGAGCUGGUUAAUUAAACAGCAUUUUCCCCGA